ACGGCUCAGUAACACGUGGACAAUCUACCCUAUGGAGAGGGAUAAUCCCGGGAAACUGGGGAUAAUACCUCAUAGACUAUAGAUGCUGGAAUGCUCUGUAGCCGAAAGGUCAGCCGCCAUAGGAUGGGUCUGCGGCCGAUUAGGUUGUUGUUGGGGUAACGGCCCAACAAGCCUGUAAUCGGUACGGGUUGUGGGAGCAAGAGCCCGGAGAUGGAUUCUGAGACACGAAUCCAGGCCCUACGGGGCGCAGCAGGCGCGAAAACUUUACAAUGCGGGAAACCGUGAUAAGGGAACUCCGUGUGCCCGUUAAAUCGGGCUGUCCAUCUGUGUAAAUAACAGGUGAAGAAAGGGCCGGGCAAGACCGGUGCCAGCCGCCGCGGUAAUACCGGCGGCUCGAGUGGUGGCCACUAUUACUGGGCUUAAAGCGUUCGUAGCUGGUUUGUUAAGUCUCUGGGGAAAUCUUCCGGCUUAACCGGAAGGCGUCUCAGGGAUACUGGCAGACUAGGGACCGGAAGAGGUGAGGGGUACUCCAGGGGUAGGAGUGAAAUCCUGUAAUCCUUGGGGGACCACCUGUGGCGAAGGCGCCUCACCAGGACGGCUCCGACAGUGAGGGACGAAAGCUGGGGGAGCAAACCGGAUUAGAUACCCGGGUAGUCCCAGCCGUAAACGAUGUGCGUUAGGUGUAUCGGUGACCACGAGUCACCGAGGUGCCGAAGAGAAAUCGUGAAACGUACCGCCUGGAAGU
rnacentral:rRNA from 1 species